CUCGUGGUGUCGCAGCUAACGCAAUAAGCACCCCGCCUGGGGAGUACGGCCGCAAGGCUAAAACUCAAAGGAAUUGACGGGGGCCCGCACAAGCGGUGGAGCAUGUGGUUUAAUUCGACGCAACGCGCAGAACCCUACCUGGGCUAGAAAGUGUACGAAUCUGGGUGAAAACUCGGAGUGCUCUUCGGAGAAUCUACAGUUAGGUGUUGCGUGGCUGUCGUCAUCUCGUGUCGUGAGAUGUUGGGUUAAGUCCCGCAACGAGCGCAACCCUUGUGGUUAGUUGCCAGCAUUAAUUUGGGCACUCUAACCAGACUGCCGACCUUUAAGUCGGAGGAAGGUGGAGAUGACGUCAAGUCCUCAUGGCCCCUAUGUCCAGGGCUACACACGUGCUACGAUGGCCGGUACAGAGGGCUGCCAGACCGCGAGGUGGAGCGAAUCUCAAAAAACCGGCCUCACUACGGAUAGGAGUCUGCUACUCGACUCCUUGAAGGCGGAAUCGCUAGUAAUCCCUGAUCAGCAUGGCAGGGGUGAAUACGUUCCCGGGCCUUGUACACACCGCCCGUCACACCAUGGGAGUUGAUUGCUCCAGACGUGGCUGAGCUAACCCGCAAGGGAAGCACGUCCCCAAGGAGUGAUCCGUAACUGGGGUGA
rnacentral:rRNA from 1 species